GACGAACGCUGGCGGCGUGCCUAAUACAUGCAAGUCGACCUUAGUGGCGCACGGGUGAGUAACACGUGGGUACCCUGCCCCUCAGAAGGGGAUAACACUUGAAAACAGGUGAUACUACCGUAUACUGAUGGAUCGACCCUCUGUGCCUUAGCUGGUUGGUUAGGUAACGGCUCACCAAGGCCACGAUGCAUACCGGACCUGAGAGGGUGACCGGCCACAUUGGGACUGAGAAACGGCCCAAAAUCCUACGGGAGGCAGAAGUAGGGAAUCUUCGGCAAUGGACGAAAGUCUGACCGAGCAAGGCCGCGUGAGUGAAGAAGGUUUUCGGAUCGUAAAAUUCUGUGGUUAGAGAAGCGGUAUUUAACCAGAAAGCCACGGCUAACUACGUGCCAGCAGCCGCGGUAAUUC
rnacentral:rRNA from 1 species